rnacentral:rRNA from 1 species
UACGUAGGGUGCAAGCGUUGUCCGGAAUUAUUGGGCGUAAAGAGCUCGUAGGCGGUUUGUCGCGUCUGCUGUGAAAACUCGGGGCUUAACCCCGGGCCUGCAGUGGGUACGGGCAGACUAGAGUGCGGUAGGGGAGACUGGAAUUCCUGGUGUAGCGGUGAAAUGCGCAGAUAUCAGGAGGAACACCAGUGGCGAAGGCGACUCUUUGGCCUGUAACUGACGCUGAGGCGCGAAAGCGUGGGGAGCAAACAGG